rnacentral:sRNA from 1 species
GAAAGUGUUUUCAGCCGGUUCUAUGGCUUGGGCAGCUCCACAAGUCCUGUGGUUCCUGCCAGCCUGCACGGCCUGCUCUGUGCUGCCCUGCAGGCCUGGGCAUUGCUGCUCACCAUCUGCCCCAGCACCCAAAUCAGCCACAUCCUUGACAGGCAGCUGCCCCGGCUGCCCCAGCUCUUGUCCAGUGAAAGUGUGAACCUGCGGAUUGCUGCCGGUGAAACCAUCGCACUGCUCUUUGAGCUUGCCCGGGACCUUGAGGAGGAGUUUGUUUACGAGGACAUGGAGGCCCUCUGCAGUGUCCUGCGCACUCUGGCCACUGACAGUAACAAGUACCGUGCCAAGGCUGAUCGUCGGCGCCAGCGCUCUACUUUCCGCGCCGUGCUGCACUCCGUGGAGGGCGGUGAAUGCAAAGAAGAGAUAGUGCGCUUCGGCUUUGAGGUGCUCUACAUGGACAGCUGGGCUCGGCACCGGAUCUACGCUGCCUUCAAGGAAGUGCUGGGUUCAGGCAUGCACCACCACCUCCAGGUGUGGGGACGGACAGGGAGGGGACAUCUGGUGUGGUUGCGUCAGUCUGGCCUGAGCUCACUGCCCUCUGCCCCCCAGAACAAUGAGCUACUCCGUGACAUCUUUGGCCUGGGCCCUGUGCUGUUGCUGGAUGCCACUGCCCUGAAGGCCUGCAAGGUUCCACGCUUCGAGAAGGUUUGCACCCUUGGGCACCUUUCUCUUCCCCCUAUUCCCGUUUCCUGGAGGCCUGGAAUUCUGUAGAGGCUGGAAGAGGACCCCCAGCCCUUUCCCUUCCCAGCUCCCCAGGGUGUCACUCUCUGUCCCCACUCUAGCACCUGUACAAUGCUGCUGCCUUCAAAGCCCGGACCAAGGCUCGAAGCCGUGUGAGGGACAAGCGGGCAGACAUCCUGUGAAGCAGGACCUGCUGAAGAGGAGACUUUCUAUGCCCUUGGUCCGUAUUUUUAACAGAAGAC